UACGGAGGGGAGCUAGCGUUGUUCGGAAUUACUGGGCGUAAAGCGCACGUAGGCGGAUUUGUAAGUCAGGGGUGAAAUCCCGGGGCUCAACCUCGGAACUGCCUUUGAUACUGCAAGUCUCGAGUCCGAUAGAGGUGAGUGGAAUUCCUAGUGUAGAGGUGAAAUUCGUAGAUAUUCGGAGGAACACCAGUGGCGAAGGCGGCUCACUGGUCCAUUACUGACGCUGAGGUGCGAAAGUGUGGGGAGCGAACAGG
rnacentral:rRNA from 1 species